UACGUAGGGUGCGAGCGUUAAUCGGAAUUACUGGGCGUAAAGCGUGCGCAGGCGGUCUGUUAAGACCGAUGUGAAAUCCCCGGGCUUAACCUGGGAACUGCAUUGGUGACUGGCAGGCUUUGAGUGUGGCAGAGGGAGGUAGAAUUCCACGUGUAGCAGUGAAAUGCGUAGAGAUGUGGAGGAAUACCGAUGGCGAAGGCAGCCUCCUGGGCCAACACUGACGCUCAUGCACGAAGCGU
rnacentral:rRNA from 1 species